rnacentral:lncRNA from 1 species
GAUGAGCACAUCCUUCAUCCUCAUUUGUUAUAGGAAGAAAUUGCUCUUUCCAUCAUACUGGUUGAUCUCUAUCUUGAUUGAGCCUGUUUUCUCUAUCUUCUUCAACCUUGAUCAACACCACCACAAUCUAGACAAUUUAGUGCUUUGAUAUCACUUAUUAAAAAAAAAUUCCUCAUAAGUGUGGAAUACGGAUCCUCCACCCA